ACAUCGAAAACACGACCGACGUCUCGUUACCCCCAAAACUUGCUCAUAGACGAAAAAGGCUCUCUCGUGGUCCCUGCUUUCAAAAUGAGCCAUCGGACGAAAAUCGCAAGAGCCCCGCUCACGAAACUGUUAAACGAAAAACAACAUCAAGAAGUCGAACUCAACGAAGAAAUUUGCCCUCGACUUCACAAGAUCAAAAUCAUAACAGUUGUGUAAAAUCAUCACAAAAUCAAUGUGCCACGCCGAACAAUGGACAUACUUCGUUACAAUGCGAAAAACAAACUGGUGUCAUUGACACACAAUCGAAAGUUAACACAUUUAAGAAAAACUCCGUGAAAAAUGGGGCAAAACCUACAUUCACCAAUGUUAACCAGAAAUUAAACGAACAGACGGACCGAGACGAAGCCAUUAAGAGAACAAAACACUUACAAUCUGUUGCUAAUGCAUUUUUAACGUCAGAUGACGAGUAUUUAUACUCUGCAGAUGAAGGGUAUGAACAGUUUUGGCAGCGUGAUAAUACAUAACCGUUAUAAAUGUGUACUCUUACGUGUUAGUCUUCGUAAUAUCAUAGAAAGCUUUCUAAAAGUAUAGUAUUCCAUAGUAAUCGCUAAUCAGUCGAUAAUAAUUUAAGUAGCCAGCUGAACUUUGGACUUUAUGGCGCGUCGGGCGUAACAUUUGUGACGUCAUCGUUCCACUUUCAGUAAAUACAGGUUCACUAGAGUGACUAGACUAUAAAACCUAAUGCUGUUUCAGUCAGUUAGUGGUGCAACUGAUUUCGUAAACCAUUAAGUUACAUUGUUUAUCAACCUAGUAGCAGCUGUUCAUAGCUGUGCAAUCAACCAUGACGUAAUGUGAAUCAAUUAUUUACAACUGCCGCAAGUCUCGUCGCAGCGUCUGGCUUGCUGUUGUGGAAAUUUGUGUUGUGUUUGGCGAGGUUAUGUACAGUGAGAAUAGAACGAGUCUCAUAUGAUCGAAACAAAGUCCAAUAUUUUCAGUUCGUUGAUAA